CUACAUUCCACCCCACCGGGACCAGGCGGGACUGGGACACCACCACCCUUGGAGAUGGAAAGGUGGAGUCCCUGCCCAUUCCUGGAAUUUUCCUGACUCUAGGAGACAGUGUUUUUGGGAGCUGGGCUCCUUUGUCCCACCAAAAGGACAGGAAAGCGAAAAGGGAAGUGGCCGUUUAUGCAGCCAGAGGAAUGGGAUUUGAGAAAACAGACGGGGAAGUUCGGACCAGAUGUUGCCAGCUCUGGAGAAUGCCCGUGGAAGGUGGUGGAAACUCUAUCAGACACGGAAGACCCCGUCUUGAAACUGAAUUGAACAGGUUCACCCCCACCCCUAACGCACCCAGGAUUCUUCACUUCACCUCCAGGAUGCUGCUGGGGGAAUGGAAAGUACUAGACUAGGUCUCCCUUUCUUUAUUCCUGCCGUCUCUUACCUGUGGGAGUCCCACCCUUUGAGAAUUGAGGAACACGUGGGCUCCCACUGGCGGGCGGAUCUCACGCACACACGUGCACACUUUGCCCCCAGUGCAUUCAGGUCACGGGCCAGGGACCCAUCCCUUGGCCUCUGUUAAAAACCUACAGAGACAGCAAUUUCCCCUGUCUUAUAUUGUUGUUUACGUCUUUGUCCACAUCAUGGUUUGCAAAUUUUUUGACACUGAGCACCAGGUUUUAAAUUAUCUUCGUGUUCUCCCUAGCUCUGACAUGGUUUCUGGCAUAUUCUACAAGCUUAUUAAAUCCCCGCCUUAACAAGGACCCCUGCUUUCUUUUUAACAUAAUGAAACUGGGCCUUUUUCCCCACAUGAAAUUAGUACACCUCAAAGGGAGAAAAAUACAGGUCUUCGGUGGAAAAUGUAUCCCUCUAGUAGGGACACGCACAACAAAAAACACUUUUGCUGCUGCUGCUGCCCCAGACACAGAUGAGGAAACACAGCACAAGGCGGAGCUAUACAAGGCUGCUCCUGGGCCCUGGAGCUGUGGGCUUUCCAGAAGGACUGGACUGGGGAGGAACAAGGAGGUGGCGAUCAGAACGCGAGGAGCUGCUCUAUUUCGAAUCUUUGGUCAAAAAAAAAUUCACCUGAAUGAUUUUAUCAGAGGGGAGUGACCUGCCCACCUCCCUCUACCCUGAAGCUAGGCAUGGACUCCCCAGACUCUUAGCUUCUGUCUUCCUCCAGCUGAUUGGUGUUAAGUGACAUCAGCUCUGGGGCACCCCAAGGUGACUGGCUCCAAAACACCAAUUUUUUUUUGUAAUGUGCAAGUAAUUUUUUGUUCAUGGUAGAAAAAUUAGAAACUGAAAAUAAAUAAAAAGAAAAGAAAUCCUACAUGAUUCUCUCUCUCAG